GGGUGACUGCGUACCUUUUGUAUAAUGGGUCAGCGACUUAUAUUCUGUAGCAAGGUUAACCGUAUAGGGGAGCCGCAGGGAAACCGAGUCUUAACUGGGCGUUAAGUUGCAGGGUAUAGACCCGAAACCCGGUGAUCUAGCCAUGGGCAGGUUGAAGGUUGGGUAACACUAACUGGAGGACCGAACCGACUAAUGUUGAAAAAUUAGCGGAUGACUUGUGGCUGGGGGUGAAAGGCCAAUCAAACCGGGAGAUAGCUGGUUCUCCCCGAAAGCUAUUUAGGUAGCGCCUCGUGAACUCAUCUUCGGGGGUAGAGCACUGUUUCGGCUAGGGGGUCAUCCCGACUUACCAACCCGAUGCAAACUACGAAUACCGAAGAAUGUUAUCACGGGAGACACACGGCGGGUGCUAACGUCCGUCGUGAAGAGGGAAACAACCCAGACCGCCAGCUAAGGUCCCAAAGUCAUGGUUAAGUGGGAAACGAUGUGGGAAGGCCCAGACAGCCAGGAUGUUGGCUUAGAAGCAGCCAUCAUUUAAAGAAAGCGUAAUAGCUCACUGGUCGAGUCGGCCUGCGCGGAAGAUGUAACGGGGCUAAACCAUGCACCGAAGCUGCGGCAGCGACGCUUAUGCGUUGUUGGG
rnacentral:rRNA from 1 species